AGUGAUACUUGGAUGCCGUUGUCAUGGCUGAAAGAGAACCAUGGUGCCCUAUUAAUCUCAGAUGCUGAACUGCAAACCACAGAGGAUGAGAUAUUGGCAAAGGAGAUGCUAUAGAAAGAACAACCACCACAAGAAAUUCCUGGUGGAUUCUUUAAUCAUGUUUUAAACCAUAUUGGACUAAACAUGUACCUCCAGGAACUGGAAAGUCUUAAAUAUUAAGAGCAAUUUUCUACUUCAAGCAAGCUAAGGCGAACCAAGAGGGACCAAGCCUGUGUGAAGACAGAUCAAGCAAGUGAUGAUGGGGAAGGAAAAGACAAGAGGAGGAGGUGCCUCGGGGCGGGUCAGCCCACCUGUACUCACUCCUGCUGAACCGUCCAGCGGAAGAAUGUUCCCACUUACUCUGUAAGUAAGUUUCAUGUGGCUUCUGUCUCUUGGUUCCUCAUCUUUUUCCCAGAACAGAAGCGCUGAUGUCCUCGCCCCCAGGGUGGCAUUCUCAUGUUGCCUUUUUUCCACUCUGUAGAG